GGGCGAUUAGCUCAGUGGAAGAGCGCUCCGUUCACACCGGAGAGGUCACUGGUUCGAACCCAGUAUCGCCCA
rnacentral:tRNA from 1 species